GUUAAACAAGUGCUUGAAGGCAGUAUGCUUGGUAAAAGUCAUCGCCAUUCUCUAAUCUUGAGUACCCAGGGACACGAUACACUGCGGAAGGCUGCAGGGACCUCUGCCCAGGAAAGCCAGGCUUGCAUGAAGGAAAUGAUUUCCUAUGAUUCUGCUUACUGCUUAAAAAAAUUAAUCAAGUUUUCUGCCUGACAAGAUCCAGUAUCUGCCGGAGGAGCCCCACCUUCUGCUACUAUUAUGUUCUUCAGAUGAGUAGAAGAGAGUGGGGAGGGAGAGAGCAGGAAGAAGAAAGGAAGAAUAAUGUCUUGAAAUUGUUUUCUAAGGAUAAUGGUCUCCAGCUUCGUCAAUGUUCCUGCAAAGGACAUGAUGCUGACUUUGAAGAUGCAAGCUUCCACAUCUACAGCCUCAAGGAAACAAAUUCAGCCAACCAACUGAGGGAGCUUUCCUUGUCCUGCCUCAAGAUGAGAUCACAGUCUGCCCAACACCAUGAUUUAGGCCUUGUGACACCUGGUAUGGAAGACCCAGUUAAGUUCUCUCCAAACUCUUGACCCACAGAACCUGUGAGAAAAUAUAUGGAUAUUAUUUUAAACUGCUAAAUUUGUAGUAAUUUGUUAUGCAGCAAUAAAAAAAACUAAUGCAAGGAGAUAUCAAUUAUUGUAAAAAGCUUAGCUUUUGUUUUAAAAUAUAGUUCACCAGUAGUAAGUUACUAAUAAGUAACUAAACAAAUAAAAGCAAGCCAUUUACAAAUCAAUAAUAAGAGUAAGUCAUGAACUAAAGAUUGUAAUUAAUCAAUUUCUGUACGCCUGUAAUGAAAAUAAAGGAGG
rnacentral:lncRNA from 10 species